rnacentral:rRNA from 1 species
AUUGAACGCUGGCGGCAGGCCUAACACAUGCAAGUCGAACGGUAACAGGAAGCAGCUUGCUGCUUCGCUGACGAGUGGCGGGCGAGUGAGAAAUGUCUGGGAAGCUGUCUGAUGGAGGGGGACAACUACUGGCAACGGUUGCUAAUACCGCAUAAUGUCGCAAGACCAAAGAGGGGGACAUUCGGGCCUCUUGCCAUCGGAUGCGCCCAGAUGGGAUUAGCUUGUUGGUGGGGUUACGGUUCACAAAGGCGACGAUCCCUAGCUGAUCUGAGAGGAUGACCGGCCACACUGGAACUGGGACACGGUCCAGACUCCUACGGGAGGCAGCAGUGGGGAAUAUUGGACAAUGGGCGCGAACCUGAUGCAGCCAUGCCGCGUGUAUGAAGAAGGCCUUCGGGUUGUAAAGUACUUUCAGCGGGGAGGAAGGGAGUAAAGUUAAUACCUUUGCUCAUUGACGUUACCCGGAGAAGAAGCACCGGCUAACUCCGUG